UUAAUACUCCCUUCGAUCCUUGUUACUUGUCGCUCAAAGGGAUGUAUCUAGCAGUAUUUUAGUGCUAGAUACAUCCAUUUGAGCGACAAGUAAUAUGGAUUGGAGAGAGUAGUAU
rnacentral:pre_miRNA from 1 species